UACACUCCUGCGGGAGGCAGCAGUGGGGAAUUUUGGACAAUGGGCGAAAGCCUGAUCCAGCCAUGCCGCGUGAAUGAUGAAGGUCUUAGGAUUGUAAAAUUCUUUCACCGGGGACGAUAAUGACGGUACCCGGAGAAGAAGCCCCGGCUAACUUCGUGCCAGCAGCCGCGGUAAUACGAAGGGGGCUAGCGUUGCUCGGAAUUACUGGGCGUAAAGGGAGCGUAGGCGGACAUUUAAGUCAGGGGUGAAAUCCCGGGGCUCAACCUCGGAAUUGCCUUUGAUACUGGGUGUCUUGAGUAUGAGAGAGGUGUGUGGAACUCCGAGUGUAGAGGUGAAAUUCGUAGAUAUUCGGAAGAACACCAGUGGCGAAGGCGACACACUGGCUCAUUACUGACGCUGAGGCCCGAAAGCGUGGGGAGCAAACAGGAUUAGAAACCCCUGUAGUCCCAUGA
rnacentral:rRNA from 1 species